AACAACAGCUUUCAACAUCUUUGCGUGUCAGCGGUACAAAAAUCUGGAUUACAUUAUCAGUUGAUGCCUUAUGAUCAGAACAUGAUGUGUAUGGGUAACAACUUUCAAGAUCCUUGCGUCUCAAACAUACAAGAUUACUCAGUGUUCCCACCAGAGUUACAAGAAUCUGUGAGUAACUACGCGUUUAAUCAGUUGAUGCAGCAUGAGCUUUUUGGCUUUGAUCAGAAUAUGUGUAUGGGUGAUACUACCAACAGCUUCAACGUUGUAGAUCCUUGUCUCUCAGAUGACAUCUGCUUUGAUUUUCAGGACCUUUAUAGUGGUUUCAUGGUCGGUAACCCUAGCUUCCCUCAAGAUUUUAAUCCCGAUAUGUCUUCAAGCUAUGUUGAUGAGAACAGACUACUUCAGGCAUCUACUCUACCAUCUCUCUAGCUCCAACCUUCCUAACGAAACUCUGAGAUUCCUAGCAAUUUACCUGAUAAAUUAGCUGAUCAUAGAAAGAAAGUGAAGCUGUUUAUGCAUCUGCAUGUUUUUAUUUUAAAUACGCACAUAUAAAUAAAUGUAACUGCAAAACACAGGUUUUGUUCGGUUCAGUACACUAUUCAUAUCUUUAUAUAUAAAAUAGACUUUCAAUCACUCCUGAUGCUGCCAGCAAGGACGACACGUCAGAAAUAGGAAGUCUCACGCGACGACACGUGUCCAAGGAGGUCAAUGCGCUGCGUUUCAUUUAACACUGAGUUGCGUCUAGGGUUAUACCCGUGUUCUUCUUCGCCUCUUCAGCGAUCUUCCAUCAUCUUCUUCAUCACAAAGAUAUCAGUUACAGAUUAAUACCCUUAAAAACCUCAAUUAAUAUUUCAUUCAUGAUCUUCAUUCAAUGAGAGUGGAGAUUCUAAUAUAAAAAGAUAUGCAGGCUGACCGCUCCUCCUCCACUGUUCGGUUGAUCCGUUUCUGGGAGUCCAGGAAUCUCCGCCGUAAUGGAGACCUCAAGGGAGUGGUUAUGAUCCUGCUGAAUUCUCAGUUCCUGUCGAGUGUCUUAACCCUGAUGGAUUUCAAGGUCACCGAGAAUGGCUGCGAGAACUACUUGGGGCAGUUAAAGUCACCAGAACUUAGUUAAACUAAUUGGUUAUUGCUUGGAAGAUGAACAACAGCCUCUUUUGUACGAUUUUAUGCAUAAGGGUAGUUUUGAGGACCAUCUGUUCACAAGUGAAUUCAUAAAUAUAGAUUUUAUUGAAACUAUCAGGAGGUUGUUCGUUCUUAUGUCUCAGUGGUGUUGAAGCAGAUGAUGUGCAGUUAAAGCCUCUCUUGUGGACCUUAUUUGUUAAUGUUUCUCUUGAUGCAGCUAAAGAGCUCGCAUUCCUUCAUGGCAACACUGUUAAAGUCAUAUACCGAGACAUCAAGGCCUCUAAGAUCUUGCUCGACCCGUCUAUGACUACAAUGGAAAUUUUCCAGACUUUGGUUUAGCAAGGAACUGUCCAAGGGAGAAACAAGCUAUGGUAUUAGAAGUGUCAUGGGUACAAUUGGCUAUGAAGCUCUCAAAUUGGGAUGCUCGCAGAUUCUCGAAAAAUAAUGGGAUUGACAAAAUAAUGUUUGAGAAAACACAGAGAGAUCUAUCAGACAUGCUUCAUAAUUGGAAGAACAAGAGAUGCAAAUAUAAUAGAGAAAAAGAGAGCUUUGUCUUUUUCUUCCUCUUUUUUUUUUACUGAAAUAACAAACAUUUUUUUUGAAAAUAUACUAAUAGUUUAUCCUUUAUCUUAUUACUAAGGAAAAACUAUUUAAAUUUUGGUUAACAUUUAGAAAUGUAAAUUUUACUCUCAGUUGAAGGGAAGAAACAGUGUUUUAUUAUAAUAGAUCUUCCACUA